UGCGGAGGAUGCGAGCGUUAUCCGGAUUUAUUGGGUUUAAAGGGUGCGUAGGCGGUUCUGCAAGUCAGUUGUGAAAACUAUGGGCUUAACCCCGGGGCUGCAUUUGAAACUGCUUAUCUUGAGUGAUGGAGAGGCAGGCGGAAUUCCCGGUGUAGCGGUGGAAUGCGUAGAUAUCGGGAGGAACACCAGUGGCGAAGGCGGCCCCCUGGACAAAGACUGACGCUCAGGUGCGAAAGCGUGGGGAGCAAAC
rnacentral:rRNA from 1 species